rnacentral:rRNA from 1 species
GGUCCAAGGCGUUUGCUGCCUGAAGAUGAGCUCGCAGUCUGAUUAGCUAGUAGGUGGGGUAAGGAGUCGCACCUAGGCGACGAUCAGUAAGCUGGUCUGAGAGGACGAUCAGCCAGCACUUGGGACUGAGACACGGCCCAGAACUCCUACGGGAGGCAGCAGUGGGGGAAUUUUUCCGCAAUGGGCGAAAGCCUGAACGGAGCAAUACCGCGUGAGGGAGGGAAGGUCUCUUGGGUUGUAAACCUCUUUACUCAGGGAAGAAUACAAUGACGGGUACUUGAUGGAAUAAGCAUCGGCUAACUCCGUGCCACCAGCCGCGGUAAUACGGGAGGAUGUCAAGCGUUAUCCGGAAUGAUUGGGCGUAAAGCGUCCGCAGGUGGGUAAUGAAAUGUCUGCUGUUAAAGAGUGAGGCUC